CCUUAUCGCUGUGUAUGGAGCGACUCUUGCUAUCACUUUAGCAUUUACUUUUACUGAAUACGGAAACGAAAAGAACACGACAGGCUAUAAAAAGUCUCAUGAUGACUUUGAACCGGAAUUUGAAGAUGCUUUAAGUGACUUGAAUAGGAAUGCUGAGGAUUAUGGCUUCUAUAAAAACGAACCAGAAGCUGACAUCGAUGAUGAAAAAGACGAUAACGAAGGCGAGGAAAGCGAUGUUUUGGAUUUAGAGAAGAGAGCACCGGACCCCAAAUCGCGGAAAGGGCACCCCCGCAGGUCUCUCAUCCGUCCAAAAGUAGGACGAGCCCUAUUGCGCCGCCGCCGUUCAGGAGUACGCCGUCGGCGUAGAAAUGGCUAAAGUAUGUCAAACAGUUGAUAUCCAUGAAGUCGAUUUAUGAAGACCGUCCGAGCUCGAAGACUAAAGAAAAAUUUAAUUUUAAAAUCCUUCUCUGCAGUAAUGCGUGGCCAUGACAAAGAAAUAUUAUUUAAAUCCUAGCUAAGCUUAGAAAUAGUUUUAUUUUCAUUAUACUAGAACAUUUCCUUUCAAAGUAAUGUAAACGUGGGCAAUAAUCAAGAAAUGUAAUUCGCGUAUUUUUGUGCUCAGUUGAGUGAAACUUUCCUUUCUUUUUUCAAGCG